rnacentral:lncRNA from 1 species
UGGAGCAGGUACCAUGUGAUCCCAGGGAGCGCCUCGUGCCCCAGUGACACACUUUUCCAACAGCCGGCACGUUGAGCUCUUGCGCGCCUGCGCAACGACAAGACUGUCGGGAUUUGUAGUCCACCGACAAAGUGGGCGGACUGCGUGCCUUUCCCCUUUCUGCCUGGCAAAGCGCUUGCCGGGACCUGGGAGGAGCUGAGAGUGGGGUGGGGUGGGGUGCGCUGAAGAGUCAGGGUGGCGUGUUUAGAAAGCCUGUAUGGCAGGGGCAUGUGAAUUUCUGGGGAGGGACUGGCAAGCUUGUUUGCUGUCUGGGAGAUCAAAGCUAAGAGGCCCUUUCUGCAAACCUUGCAAACGUGAGGGCUUCACGUGAUUGCAGGACUGACCUCGUCCUGAGGU